GCGUCUUCUCACUGUGAAAAUCAAUGAGAGAGCCACUAGAGGCUGGAUUAAUCCAUAGGUAAACAAAGCAGUUUCUCUGAAACUGCUAUGUUUACAGCAAAAAGAGUUAAACCUAGCUGGACCUGGCACCCAGACCACUUCAUUAAGCUGAAGUGGUCUGGGUGCCUAUAGUGGUCCUUUCAGAAUACCAAAUUAGAGAGCUAUCUACUAAACAGUCGAAAGAUCAAAAUUAAAAGCAAGCCCUUUUCUUAGUUUUGCUCUUUCACUGAUUUAGUGGAUAACUCCAUAAUUUGCUAUCAUUAUCAAAAC